AACAAAUCACAGGGACACAUGACUUAGAUAAAAGAUAAAAAAAGACUAGUUACUCAAUUACUUCAUGAUCAAUUUCUCACUUUCUCUUGCUAUAAGCAAGUCGGUUUCUCCCAAGAAUAACACCAACCCACAAAUUUGAGCUUUACAACGAAAUUGACAACUUAAUUGUCCUCCCAAUAACUGCAUCGACAUAAUAAAUUGAUGCACUUUGGAAAAAGAUGAAUGGGACACAUAUCUCUUGGACAGUCGGUGUUCAAAACGCAAGGAAUAACAUCAUCAAUGCCUAACAAGAACAAAAUAAAUGUUAAUAAAAGGUGAUGAAAUAGUUUAUAUACAAAUUAUAUUAUAAAUUUUAAAAUGGUUUGAAAAAUUACUCACUUUGGUGGGUUGCAACAAGAAAUGGAGAAAGAAGGAUAAUUAAAGCAUAAAAAAAACAUCCGAUUUGAACCAUAAUUUUUCUCCUUUGCAUUACUAUAAAUAGAAAUUGUUUUAUCA
rnacentral:lncRNA from 1 species